UACAGAAAUCCCGCAUAGUGCGUAUGACUACUCCCAUGUUAGAGAACUCCCGUAAAGUGUUUCCUACACUCAGGGAUGCAGAACUCCUGUAACUGCCUCUCACUACUUCCAAUGUACAGAAAUCCUGUAAGCUGCUUCUCUUUUACUCAGACUACUGAAAACCCGCAUAGUGCGUAAGACUACUCCCAUGCUACAGAACUCCCGUAAAGUGUUUCCUACACUCAGGAUGCAGAACUCCAGUAAACUACUUCGCUCUACAUCCAGCUUACAGAAAUCUUGUAAGGUGCAUCUCCUACACACAGCCUACAGAAAUCCCGCAUACUGAGUAUGGCUAGAGCCAUGUUACAGACUCCCAUAGACUGUCUCCUACACUCAAGAUGCAGAGUUCCAGUAAAUUGCUUCUCUCUACAUCCAGCUUACAGAACGCAUGUAAGCAGCAUGUCCUAAACACAGGGUACAGAAAACUCGCAUAGUGCAUACGGCUGCUCCCAUGCUACUGAACUCCCGUAAAUUGUUUCCUACACUCAGGAUGCAGAACUCCUGUAAACUGCCUCUCAUUACUUCCAAUGUACAGAAAUCCUGUAAGCUGCUUUUCUUUUACUCAGACUACUGAAAACCCGCAUAGUGCGUAAGACUACUCCCAUGUUACAGAACUCCCGAAAAGUGUUUCCUACACUCAGGAUGCAGAACUCCUGUAAACUGCCUCUCACUACUUCCAAUGUACAGAAAUCCUGUAAGCUGCUUCUCUUUUACUCAGACUACUGAAAACCCGCAUAGUGCGUAAGACUACUCCCAUGCUACAGAACUCCCGUAAAGUGUUUCCUACACUCAGGAUGCAGAACUCCUGUAAACUGCCUCUCACUACUUCCAAUGUACAGAAAUCCUGUAAGCUGCUUCUCUUUUACUCAGACUACUGAAAACCCGCAUAGUGCCGUAAGACUACUCCCAUGCUACAGAACUCCCGUAAAGUGUUUCCUACACUCAGGAUGCAGAACUCCUGUAAACUGCCUCUCACUACUUCCAAUGUACAGAAAUCCUGUAAGCUGCUUCUCUUUUACUCAGACUACUGAAAACCCCGCAGAGUGCGUAAGACUACUCUCAUGCUACAGAACUCGCGAAAAGUGUUUCCUACUCUCAGGGAUGCAGAACUUCUGUAAACUGCCUCUCAUUACUUCCAGUGUACAGAAAAUCCUGUGA
rnacentral:lncRNA from 1 species